GACGAACGCUGGCGGCGUGCCUAAUACAUGCAAGUCGAACGCAUUUUCUUUCACCGUAGCUUGCUACACCGAAAGAAAAUGAGUGGCGAACGGGUGAGUAACACGUGGGUAACCUGCCCAUCAGCGGGGGAUAACACUUGGAAACAGGUGCUAAUACCGCAUAAUUCCAUUUACCGCAUGGUAGAUGGAUGAAAGGCGCUUUUGCGUCACUGAUGGAUGGGCCCGCGGUGCAUUAGCUAGUUGGUGGGGUAACGGCCUACCAAGGCUGCGAUGCAUAGCCGACCUGAGAGGGUGAUCGGCCACACUGGGACUGAGACACGGCCCAGACUCCUACGGGAGGCAGCAGUAGGGAAUCUUCGGCAAUGGACACAAGUCUGACCGAGCAACGCCGCGUGAGUGAAGAAGGUUUUCGGAUCGUAAAACUCUGUUGUUAGAGAAGAACAAGGAUGAGAGUGGGAAGUUCAUCCCUUGACGGUAUCUAACCAGAAAGCCACGGCUAACUACGUG
rnacentral:rRNA from 1 species